AUGUUUAUCGCCAUUUAUAAAAUAAUAAUUUUUUCGUUUUUUACAUGGAUAUGGACUUCUAACAACAGAGUAAAAAUAUUAGCUCUGCUUAGAAAUAUAUCAAAUACACAUUAUCCUAGAUCACUGGCUGAAUAUGAUAUCCCCAUAAAAGAACGGAACGAUCGUUUAUAUAAAACAAACUAUAACGACAUCAAUGACAUUAAUAACUUUUAUGAACAUUGUGAACAAAAUAUAAGUAGUGAUAAUGACCCAACUGAGUAUGUUACACCAAUUGAUGAAUACUGUGAAAAUAUAUCAGUUUUUUUAAACGAGAUUAAGAAAGAAUUAAUUAAAAUGUUAGCUGACCAAUCUAAUCUCCAAAUAACGAAUAUAUUAAUAAAAAAUAAAAAUAUACAAGAAAAAGACCUAAUACAAAUAUAUGAUCUUAUUAAACAUGUCAUUUCAAGUAAUGAAUAUAUGCAAAUUUUAAAGGAAACUUGCGAAUUAUUAAAAGGUAGAAAUACGAACAAUAAUAAUGAUGAAAGGUGUUACAAAUCGAUGAUACACCUACUUAAUACAUAUUUCUUUCUUACCAACAAUAAAACAGAUUUUAACGAACGCCUUACUCAGUUAGAUAAUCAGAAACAACAAACAUUUAAAAAAAAAAAACUUAUAGCGAAAUAUUUAAAUAUAUUUAAACUUAAUGAUAAAAUAUAUAAACAAUUUAGAAAAAUGUUACUCAAACAAAUGAUAAAAAAAACAAUAAAUUCAAAAGUAAAAUUAUCAAAUAAAAAAAUUGUGAAGUUAUUGAGUUAUGCUUCAUAUAAUGUAAUAUUAGUAUAUAUAAUUACGUUUUUAACAAUACCCUUUGGAUCGUACGUCCUCAUAUGUACAUUAUUGUCACUGUAUGUAUUCAUAUGUGUACACUCAACAUAUAAAAUUAUUAGAGAUCUAAUUUACAUAAGCGCAAUUAUAGAAGGUUCAAAACUACCAAACAGAAAAUAUUUUAAUUAACAAUAUAUAUAUAUAUAUACCAUAAACAAAUUAUAACACAAUAUAAUAUUUAUAAUAUAGUAAUUUUAAUAUUGUUUAUAUGUGUUUUUGUUGAUGUUCAAAACGUUAGAACUUAAACAUAUAUAACUUUUUAAACUUAAUGAAUAUUAAAACAAAUAACCAUUUAAUUAUUGCUUACCUAAUAAAAUGUUAAAAAAAUACA
rnacentral:lncRNA from 1 species